rnacentral:rRNA from 1 species
UACGUAGGGGGCAAGCGUUGUCCGGAAUCAUUGGGCGUAAAGCGCGUGUAGGCGGCUCAGUAAGUCCGCUCUGAAAGCCCGGGGCUCAACCCCGGGAGGCGGGUGGAUACUGCUGAGCUCGAGUCCGGAAGAGGAGUGUGGAAUUCCUGGUGUAGCGGUGAAUGCGCAGAUAUCAGGAGGAACACCGGUGGCGAAGGCGGAUCUCUGGGGCCAUUACUGACGCUGAGGAGCGAAAGCGUGGGGAGCGAACAGG